rnacentral:rRNA from 1 species
GCAAGUCGACUGGAAUUUACCUUUCGGGGUAAUAGUACGGUGGCGGACGGGUGCGUAACGCGUAAAGAACUUGCCCUCUAGACUGGGACAACUGUUGGAAACGACAGCUAAUACCGGAUAUUAUGAGAAACUCGCAUGGGAAACUUAUAAAAGCUAUAUGCGCUAGAGGAGAGCUUUGCGUACCAUUAGGUAGUUGGUAGGGUAAUGGCCUACCAAGCCGACGAUGGUUAGCCGGCCUGAGAGGGUGAUC